GUGGGCUGAGCCCUCUGAAAGGGCCGCCUUGGAGACCCGCUUCGCGGCACCGCUCGCCGCAGAUCCGGACGCUGCGCCGCAUGCCUUCACCUAGCCCUCUUGACUGGGCCUGGCCCGCCCGCGAGCCCCGUUCUGCAUAUCUCGACCGGCCGUCCCCGCUGGCUCAGGUCUCCGAGACCCAGGCGACAGACAGUACAGAUGGUCCGUGCCAUGCCGCUGCUGAUCCUCCGUGCGCUGCCCAGAGACCCCCAUCAGCGUCAUGGACUCUGCUUCCCUUCCAGGCUGAGCGGCCGUGCAAGCUCCAUAUUUGUGGCUUCCCCGAUAAUCUCCCAGACUUCACUGGAGCUGACCCUCGGCCUCUCAGCCUUUCCUGAGCCACCUCAGUUCUGAAAUGGCAGCGUUUUGCCAGAUAACGGGGUACAGAGCCUAAGUUGAACACCCUCACAACCUUGGUGAGAGAACUACUGAAGAAUGUGUUUCAGAAGGAAGGACACGGAACCCAGAAGAAAGGAGAGAGUUUCAAGAAACAGUGACUGGAAGUCCAAGAUCAAGAUGUCAGUAGGGUUGGGUUUUGAUGAAACCUCCCUGAAUUAUAGGCAGCCUUCCGUCUGUGUCCCAAACACUGCCUUUUCACUGUGACUGUUUGAAGGCCAUCUCUGCUGUCUCUUCCUUUUCUUAUGAGGAUACUAGACUUAGGCCCAACACUUAAGACCUCAUUUAACCUUAAUCACCUCCCUAAACACCCAACAUCUAAAUGCAGUCCCAUUAAGGAUUAGGGCCUGAUAAAUGCAUUUGGCAGUAAGGACACAAUUCAGUUCAUGCUGCUGCUGCUGGUGCUGAGUUGCAUCAGUCGUGUCCGACUCUGUGCGACCCCGUAGACGGCAGCCCACCAGGCUCCCCCAUCCCUGGGAUUCUCCAGGCCAGAACACUGGAGUGGGUGGCCAUUUCCUUCUCCAAUGCAUGAAAGGAAAAGUGAAAGUGAAAUCACUCAGCUGUGUCUGACUCUUAGACCCCAUAGACUGCAACCUACCAGGCUCCUCCGUUCAUAGCACUCAGUAAAUAUCAAAGAAGUUAUCAGUACUUAAAAAACUUCCCACAAAGAAAAUGCCAUAGGAGAUAUAGGAGAUACCAUAUCAAAUACUCAUGAAGCAAAUCAUUGUGAUCAUGUUCAAAAUCUUUCCAAAGACAAUGUAAAACCCUCUCAAGUGCAUUUUAGGAGACUAGUCUUACCUAAUAGCAAAUCCAGAUAAGAACAGGACAAAAAUAGGAAAUUACAGACUAGCCUCUCUCAUGAGCAUAGGCAAAAAAAAAAAUCUGAACUAAUACUAAAUUCAAUCCAGCAGUUACAAAAUAUCAUAGCCAAUUUGAAUCUAUUAACAAUAUGUUAAUGUUUCAGCUGCAUUAAUUUAAUUAGCCAUAUUAAUAGAUUACUGGAAAAAAUAUGUUUCUCACAAAAUAUACAAAAAAUUUUAGUUAAAAUUCAGCAUUCAUUCAUCUCUAGCACACCAAGAAUAUUAGUGAAAUACCUUUAUCUGAUAAAGGAUUUCUACCAAAAACUUUCAGUAAGUAUCAUUCUUAAUGGUGAUGUGUUAGAGGCAUUCUCUUAAAAAUCAAAAAUGCCUCCAUCAUAGCUCUACUCUUUGGAGUAGUCAGGACAAUGUUUUUUAUUUUUAUGCUGACCCAGUGGAUUUUAUAAUUUUUAAAAUAAGAAAGCCUAGCAAGUUAAGUGACUCUAUCAAUCAAUAAGUACCUUAAAACUUAAACAACUUAAAACUCUAUUUAAAGUACUGUUUACACUAGCAGCAAAAAAUGUUAUUUAGAGAAGGUAUUUGAAAAAAGAAGUGAAGAUCUUCAUAGGGAAAUGAAAGGUAUUGAGAAAGACCCAAAUAAAUGAAGAUAUUCCCAUGUUCACUGAGGAGUCCCAAUUGCAGAUUCAAAUACCUCAAAAUGAAUCAUAAACAAAUAUUAAGAGGGUUUUGGUGGAAUGAAGAGUCAAUUCUAAAAUCGAGAGUUGAUUCUAAAAUGUGCAUGAACAAACAAAUGGCCAACAAUUACCCUAAGAAAAAUUCGAUGGGUGAUUUACCUUGUACUAUCAAGGCUCGCUCUGGCUCUCUGUGUAUGUUAGGCUAGGUAUAAUAAUUGAACCCUGUGUGUAUCAGAUUAUAACAAACCCCGCCAAAUCUUAUCAGCUGAAAAGCACAAACUUUAUUUCACUCAUAUAUCUCACUGUUGCACAAAUACCUGUCCAUCCCAGAUUCCCAAGAGGGAGCAGCACUUCUCACUUACUCAGCUACUAGGCUGUUAGUUCUGCUUAAGUCACACCUGGAUUCUUAAAAAUUCUGUUCAGAAGUGGCACAUGUAACUUCUAUUAAUGUUUCCUCGGUAGAAUCAAGUCCAAGUCUGCCAUGAAUAUGGCAGGGAAGCAAUCCUCUACAAGAGGAAGGGACAGUGAAAAACAGUAAUACAAUCACUCACAUGAUAAUAAUUCAGACAGUGUGGUAUCAACACUUUGGAUAUAAACCAAUAGUUGGAUAAAGGUAAUAGAACAGAGAGCACAGAACCAGGCCCACAACUUAUGGAUUUUGAACACAUCAGAGGUGAUGUGUAAAUCAUGAGGGAAAAAAUAGAACAGACAGCAAACGAUGUGGGGACAAUUUGCGCUAUAUAUGGGAAACAUGAAAUCAGAUCCGUACCAAGAAUCAUGCUUAUAAAUUAAUUCCAGGUAGAUUCAAGAUGUCAGUGUGAAAGGCAGAUCUUUAAAACUUUUAAGAUUAAACCUCUUUCACCUUAACAAAGAAGAAUUUCUUGAAUAAGAUACAAGCUGUGCAAAACUUAACAGCUUCUGAAAAGUGACAAAUUCAACUAAAUUAUAAUCAAGA